GACCUGAUAGCUCAGCAGGUAGAGCAUCUCCCUUUUAAGGAGAGGGUCCUGGGUUCGAGCCCCAGUCAGGUCA
rnacentral:tRNA from 1 species